GGAGGCGUCGCAUAGAGGCUUAGUGCAUCGGUCCUGAAAACCGAAGUCCCGCAAGGGACCGUGAGUUCGAAUCUCACCGCCUCCG
rnacentral:tRNA from 1 species